AAGAGGUAGUUUAAAUAAAAUAUUAAUUUUGGGGAUUAAUGAUAAAGAAGUUACUUUUCUCUUGA
rnacentral:tRNA from 1 species